GAUGAACGCUGGCGGCGUGCCCAAUACAUGCAAGUCGAGCGAAUGGAUUAAGAGCUUGCUCUUAUGAAGUUAGCGGCGGACGGGUGAGUAACACGUGGGUAACCUGCCCAUAAGACUGGGAUAACUCCGGGAAACCGGGGCUAAUACCGGAUAACAUUUUGAACCGCAUGGUUCGAAAUUGAAAGGCGGCUUCGGCUGUCACUUAUGGAUGGACCCGCGUCGCAUUAGCUAGUUGGUGAGGUAACGGCUCACCAAGGCAACGAUGCGUAGCCGACGUGAGAGGGUGAGCGGCCACACUGGGACUGAGACACGGCCCAGACUCCUACGGGAGGCAGCAGUAGGGAAUCUUCCGCAAUGGACGAAAGUCUGACGGAGCAACGCCGCGUGAGUGAUGAAGGCUUUCGGGUCGUAAAACUCUGUUGUUAGGGGAGAACAAGUGCUAGUUGAAUAAGCUGGCACCUUGACGGUACCUAACCAGAAAGCCACGGCCAACUACGUGCCAGCCGCCGCAGUAA
rnacentral:rRNA from 1 species